AAUAAAUGUGUCAGAAAAUGGAUGGAUGGAUAUAUAAUUCACUGAUACAGAAACCGGAACUAAUAUAGGGCAACGUUUCAUGGGGAAACUUUAGAGCAAUGGACACUCACUAGGGACUUCUGAUAAUGAAAAGAGGAAAAGGAGGAUAAUAUUUACAGACGAGUCGGACGACUAACGAGAAAGAGUGUAAAGAGUAAGUGAGGAGCAGAAAGGACAACAUCACAUGCAUCAAGUAACCAACACAGCCAUCAGAUAAACCGCAGAAAUCCAGCACUGCAUCACCACUGCAUGACCAGAUCCAAUCCACUUCACCUACCACUUGGCUCUUGUGUGUGAAGUAAAGAGUCCACUUUAUGGCAGUCUAUUUUUCUGAGUAUCUUAACCAGAUCCCAAUAGUAUUUAGCCUGGCUCUCCUCCCAUCUUCCACCUGUCCAGCCUGGAGGAUCUCUCAGCAGCUGCCCUCAGAGCCUGACAACACCCUCCAAACGCCCAGUCACCGAUCUGAAGGAAACUUCCAGUUUGUUUCAUUUCCUAACUCAGAUAGCAGAUCUACAGAUUAAACAUCACCUCACGUACGUGACUUCAUGAACAGGGUUACUCCUCAUUAAAAAAAUCGGAGGCGCCGUGAAAGAGGAAGAACUGGUUUUUAUUUUAGCUGGAUCGCUUCCUUCACCGUUUAAUUGUUCCUUUGUUUUUCUAAACAUUGGAGACGUUAGAUUAAAAAAAAAUAAAAAAACAGCUUUGACUGUUAAAGCGUAUAAGCUCUGCAUAAUGUCUUUUCUGGGAAAACAGCAGAUGUUUUAAAGGAUUAUAGAGUAAAACCAAAUACAGACGACAUGAGUCAACAGGCAGGCUGAUCAUUAGGAGCUUAUCCUUCCAGAUGAUUGAGAAAAGCAGGGUUUUCCACUAGUCCAGGUGAGCAACAGGACCAAAUACUGUUUUAAUACCAACAAGGUUAUUUGUCACCUGGUUUUUGGGGGUACAGCAAGGAGAAAUUGAACAUAAUAGGUACAUUUAAACCAGUCUUGUUUCACUUUCAAAACCAAUUAAUUUUCUAAAAUGUCUCUAAUGCCCCAUUUACACUACCCCUGUGAAACCGAUCCAUGCCGAGU